CUGGCUGGUCCUGGGUUCUCUUUCAGGCCCCUGGCCUGGGACUGUGGGUGGGAGGGGGCAGGUGCAAUGGCUCCUGUCACUGGGCUGACUUGCAUGCAGGAAGGAGACAGCAAGAUGACUCCAUCUGAGCCAGGCCUCCAGGGAUCCUCCCUGCCAGGGGCUCCUGUGCCCCAUGGGGAAUGGUGAGUUUGCUGGGAGGGAGAGACCACAGCCCCAGAGCCGGGCAGAGAGCAGGAGGCUCUUCGGGCCCUGCCGAGGACUCCACAGGAAGAGUUAAGCUCUACCCCUGUGAUCAGGCCUUUAAUUUUUCAAACUUGGAAGGUGUGGGCCAAACUACACCUGCAGGGGUGAGGCUGGCCUUUGGGAAGGACAGAGUGAUGCAUUCUGAAGAGCCCCUAGAUCUGCCGCUAGGGGCUCUGGGUUCCAGUCCUAGUGCAGCCUCUGAUGACAUGAGUGACUCUGGACAGGUGGCAUGUGCCCCUCACAGAGAGAGGAUGCUGAUCACCUUCCUCCCCUCCCAUCAGAUUGCAUCUUGGAAGUGAGGAGGUUCUGGAAGCUGUACACCCAAGGAAGACAUUCUGUGCCCGAGAGAGAGUGGGAGAGAUGUGACUGCUGCUGGCUGGGUGAGGACAGGCCCAGAGGACAGCAUCACUGGCACCCACCCCUGCACUUGGAUCCUCUGCACACCUCAGCUCCCAGCAUCUGGGCCUCCUCCCUGCCUGCCUCCCCCGCUCGCUCAAUCUGUCUCCACUCAAGAGGCUGAUGGGCAGGUCUCCCUGCUUCUUCAAAUCUUUCAAAGGGUAACUUCACAAAGACAGGAGCCCUGACCCAUCCACCUUGGCCUCACCCCACCCCAGCACGGAAGCCAGGCGGCCCGUGGAGGCUGGUAUUGCUGAAUGGACAUGGGGCUGGAUGAAAAGACUUCCGCCUGCCUCUCUCAGCCCCGGGAUCGCCAUGAGCUGCUAUUCCGGAGAUUCUAUGCUGCAGAAGUACAAGGUGAAGAAUGCAUACCGAUUACAUUGGCAAGGGAGAGAAGAGCCUGGUGCUGGCACUUUUGCUUCUUUGGUCUUUCAAUAAUGUCUUUCCCCUUGAUUAUACAUGAUAGAUUCCUAUUUUAGAAACUUCGAAAACCAUAAAAAAGUCAGAAUAAUAUUACCACUCAGAAAUAAAGAAAUAAAGUUUUGGUGU